GUGAGGCUUCAAAGCAGUCAAGCCCUAGCACAAGGUUGUCGGAGAAGUCAUUAAGAGAGGCAAGGUUAUCGGAGAGGUCAUUAAGAG